ACGUAGGUGGCAAGCGUUGUCCGGAAUUAUUGGGCGUAAAGGGCGCGAAGGUGGGUUGUUAAGUGUAUUGUAAAAGUGCGGGGCUCAACCCCGUAAAGCGAUGGAUACUGGCAUUCUUGAGUGCAGGAGAGGAAAGCGGAAUUCCCAGUGUAGCGGUGAAAUGCGUAGAUAUUGGGAGGAACACCAGUGGCGAAGGCGGCUUUCUGGACUGUGUCUGACACUGAGGCGCGAAAGCCAGGGGAGCGAACGG
rnacentral:rRNA from 1 species